rnacentral:misc_RNA from 1 species
UCUCCGUAGGUGAACCUGCGGAGGGAUCAUUACAGAGUUCUCGCCCUCGCGGGUAGAUCUCCCACCCACUGUUAUCGUUACUGUGUUGCUUUGGCGGGCCGCCGGGCCCCGCUCGGCCGCCGGCUCCGGCUGGCGCGCGCCCGCCCGAGGCCCAGCAAACUCUGAAUGUUAGUGUCGUCUGAGUACUAUAUAAUAGUUAAAACUUUCAACAAUGGAUCUCUUGGUUCUG